rnacentral:rRNA from 1 species
UACACUCCUACGGGAGGCAGCAGUGGGGAAUUUUGGACAAUGGGCGAAAGCCUGAUCCAGCAAUGCCGCGUGAGUGAAGAAGGCCUUCGGGUUGUAAAGCUCUUUUGUCAGGGAAGAAACGGUGAGAGCUAAUAUCUUUUGCUAAUGACGGUACCUGAAGAAUAAGCACCGGCUAACUACGUGCCAGCAGCCGCGGUAAUACGUAGGGUGCAAGCGUUAAUCGGAAUUACUGGGCGUAAAGCGUGCGCAGGCGGUUUUGUAAGUCUGAUGUGAAAUCCCCGGGCUCAACCUGGGAAUUGCAUUGGAGACUGCAAGGCUAGAAUCUGGCAGAGGGGGGUAGAAUUCCACGUGUAGCAGUGAAAUGCGUAGAUAUGUGGAGGAACACCGAUGGCGAAGGCAGCCCCCUGGGUCAAGAUUGACGCUCAUGCACGAAAGCGUGGGGAGCAAACAGGAUUAGAAACCCUAGUAGUCCCAUGA